rnacentral:rRNA from 2 species
CAGUCGAACGAUGAUGCCCAGCUUGCUGGGUGGAUUAGUGGCGAACGGGUGAGUAACACGUGAGUAACCUGCCCCUGACUCUGGGAUAAGCGUUGGAAACGACGUCUAAUACUGGAUAUGACUGCCGGCCGCAUGGUCUGGUGGUGGAAAGAUUUUUUGGUUGGGGAUGGACUCGCGGCCUAUCAGCUUGUUGGUGAGGUAAUGGCUCACCAAGGCGACGACGGGUAGCCGGCCUGAGAGGGUGACCGGCCACACUGGGACUGAGACACGGCCCAGACUCCUACGGGAGGCAGCAGUGGGGAAUAUUGCACAAUGGGCGAAAGCCUGAUGCAGCAACGCCGCGUGAGGGAUGACGGCCUUCGGGUUGUAAACCUCUUUUAGUAGGGAAGAAGCGAAAGUGACGGUACCUGCAGAAAAAGCACCGGCUAACUACGUGCCAGCAGCCGCGGUAAUACGUAGGGUGCAAGCGUUGUCCGGAAUUAUUGGGCGUAAAGAGCUCGUAGGCGGUUUGUCGCGUCUGCUGUGAAAUCCCGAGGCUCAACCUCGGGCUUGCAGUGGGUACGGGCAGACUAGAGUGCGGUAGGGGAGAUUGGAAUUCCUGGUGUAGCGGUGGAAUGCGCAGAUAUCAGGAGGAACACCGAUGGCGAAGGCAGAUCUCUGGGCCGUAACUGACGCUGAGGAGCGAAAGCGUGGGGAGCGAACAGGAUUAGAUACCCUGGUAGUCCACGCCGUAAACGUUGGGCGCUAGAUGUAGGGACCUUUCCACGGUUUCUGUGUCGUAGCUAACGCAUUAAGCGCCCCGCCUGGGGAGUACGGCCGCAAGGCUAAAACUCAAAGGAAUUGACGGGGGCCCGCACAAGCGGCGGAGCAUGCGGAUUAAUUCGAUGCAACGCGAAGAACCUUACCAAGGCUUGACAUACACCGGAAACGGCCAGAGAUGGUCGCCCCCUUGUGGUCGGUGUACAGGUGGUGCAUGGUUGUCGUCAGCUCGUGUCGUGAGAUGUUGGGUUAAGUCCCGCAACGAGCGCAACCCUCGUUCUAUGUUGCCAGCGCGUUAUGGCGGGGACUCAUAGGAGACUGCCGGGGUCAACUCGGAGGAAGGUGGGGAUGACGUCAAAUCAUCAUGCCCCUUAUGUCUUGGGCUUCACGCAUGCUACAAUGGCCGGUACAAAGGGCUGCGAUACCGUAAGGUGGAGCGAAUCCCAAAAAGCCGGUCUCAGUUCGGAUUGAGGUCUGCAACUCGACCUCAUGAAGUCGGAGUCGCUAGUAAUCGCAGAUCAGCAACGCUGCGGUGAAUACGUUCCCGGGCCUUGUACACACCGCCCGUCAAGUCAUGAAAGUCGGUAACACCCGAAGCCG